rnacentral:tRNA from 1 species
GCUCCCUUAGCUCAGCUGGAUAGAGCAGCCGCCUUCUAAGCGGCCGGUCGCUGGUUCGAAUCCAGCAGGGGGCG